CCUACGGGCGGCAGCAGUGGGGAAUAUUGCGCAAUGGGCGAAAGCCUGACGCAGCGACGCCGCGUGAGGGAUGAAGGUCCUCGGAUCGUAAACCUCUGUCAGCAGGGAAGAACGGUCACUGUGCUAAUCAGCAGUGAAUUGACGGUACCUGCACAGGAAGCACCGGCUAACUCCGUGCCAGAAGCCGCGGUAAUACGGAGGGUGCGAGCGUUAAUCGGAGUUACUGGGCGUAAAGCGCGCGUAGGCGGUAUGUCAAGUCAAGGGUGAAAUCCCCGCGCUCAACGUGGGAACUGCCUUUGAAACGGGCAGGCUGGAGGGUGUGAGAGGAAGGUGGAAUUCCAGGUGUAGGAGUGAAAUCCGUAGAUAUCUGGAGGAACAUCAGUGGCGAAGGCGACUAACUGGCACAUAACUGACGCUGAGGAGCGAAAGCGUGGGUAGCAAACAGGAUUAGAUACCCGAGUAGUC
rnacentral:rRNA from 1 species